rnacentral:lncRNA from 1 species
CGAUACCGCAGCUCUUCAAAGCAUUAUGUGCACAGUACAGAUACAGAUGUCCCGAGUGUUUCACCUCAUUCACCCAACUGCACUUGAAGAUGUCCUUGGAAUGAGGAACACUUCAAAGAUUCAAGUCCAAGUUUCAAGUUCAUUGUGGUUGUUGAAGAGCACCAGUGUUUAAGCACUUUACUCCAGGCCUCUCUUUGGUUCUGAAAGCAUCAGAUAACAGCUGCAAGCUUUAAAAAGCAGCUGGAUAUAAGUGAUGUACCCUAUAAUCUGUUCAAAGCCUUUUGUACUGUAACACUUCUGUCUUUGAAACCAAUAAUCUCUUUUUUUUUUUGUUUCAAACUUUUUGAUGGAUUAUGUUUCUUGGAAUUGCCCAGACUCUCCAAACUGAGGUUUGUUUUGAGGAACUGUAGGGGCUGGGUUUUAAUUUGUCCCAGUUUUCUCCUCUUGCUGUAUUAUGCAAGCUUCUCAUUUUGUGUUUAUACCAUUAAGAUAUUGCUUAGGAAUACUAUUACUUGAAUAGUUCUGGAGAUCAAAUUGCCCAUGGAAAUACCACAUGCGAUAAUGCUGUUAUACUCUGAUUAUAUUAUAUGCUAUUGUGUAUUGUAAUUAGACAUAUUUUAAAAUAGUAUCCCCUAAGGCCAAUGAAAUCAUGUAAUUCACAACUACUAGGUUAUCCUAAGCAGUCUGAAGGUUCUGGAUGAGUAGACCAGCUCCUGGAAGUCAGUUUUGUGGGAGACCUAUUGGACAACCCUGUGGCGAAAGCUGCUGGCAGCUACUACUGUCUGGGAAAUUGGUUAUAUAAUGUGUGAUGGAGUUUAAAGGGCCCAAGGGUAGCAUUUUCCUAAUGAUAGGGAAUAAAACUGCCCAUAGGAAUACUGAGGAGCUGGAGGUAGGAAGCGGUUCCAGUGUUGAGAAUGUUUUGUCGUAGUUCUGACUGUAAGUCUUCUCUCAGGAAGAGAGGUGGAGUGGUUGGAUAUGUUUGUAGCUGCAUGCUGUUAUCUAAAACUACUUGUAUUUUUUAUGUAGACAAUACUUUGGAGCAAUUUCUAUGAAGUUAUGUGUUAAGCAUUGUUAUUAAUUGUAAGCAGUUGUUUGUAAUGCUUUGAACUAAGUAAAAUCACCUUCAGGUGAUUUUUCUUUUUUUCCCCACUAGUAUUGCUUCUACACAUCCAUAAUGGUACUAUGCUGAUACAACCUAUCUGAAUGAAGUGAAAUAAUGCUUCCUUUGCAGUGUUCAGAGUGCAGGCCUUAAUCAUCCUUAAUUUCUAAGUCUAAUCCUCAAGUUAGAACAAGUAUUUUUUUAAUCUUCUUGUGCAACAGAUAAGCUUCUUGUAGAACCACUAUUGCUGAAUGAGAAAUACCACCCUGGAUGUUUUGCAGCCCUCUCAGGGUGACUGAGGAAACUGUUAAAGACAUGGAAGUGGAUUGCUACUUGUGGCAUACUAGCAUGUAACACCGAUCUGUAACAGUAACUCCAUCACUAAAAAUCUUGGCAGGAAUGGUUGUGGUAACUGAAGUGUAAUGUAAAUGUAUCAAAAUGAUAGGAAUUAAUUUUGAAUUACACUUUCAUUUAGUUUUGUUCUAAUAACUUAAUUUUACUAGUAAAGAGUUUAAAACUAAGAACUUCAAGGCACGUUUUCACAAGUUUGUUCUUGAAACUUGGGGAAAUAAUCUCCGUGCUCCUGAUCUGUGUAGGAGUUCUUGCAUGAGGAGUAGUGGAUUGAGUUCCCUCAGGUUUAAUGCCAGAGUUAACUGAAAGCCCAGAGACAAAAGCUUUGUCGUUGUUUCUGAGGCUGCACUUCUGAUUCAUUCUGUUCGCUAAUUCACUGUGUCUUGAGAAUGCUGAUCCCAGAUCAGAAUAUGAGCUUGAAAAUGCUGUAACAUUAAAAUCACAGUUGAGAUAGUGGGUAUAUUUCUGCUCCAUCUAUAGUGUUCAAGACUAAUAGGCUUGUUUUUUUUUCCAACCCACUAUAGUAAGAUAAUUCAGCAGAAACUUCUAAUUAGCUUUUAUAUUUUACUCCAAUGCUGCUGUUGUCUAUAGGGCAGUAGAAGUAAGCUGUUUUACAGAGUUUAUACUGUCUGUGGUAUUAGAUCUACAGAAUUUAAUACAGUGCUCUGCUGUCUCACUAUAAUCUUGCUGUGGUUUCCCCCCCCCCACACACACACGCACAUCUUAGUAAAUAAAUCCAAAUGCAGAAUUGAAUAGUUAAAACCUCUUAUGUGGCAACUGAUCAUGCUGAAUGACCCAGCAAAAAAAGUCCUGAGCUUGAUGAAUGAAAAAUAUACCUGUAAAGAGAACUUCAUCUUGUUUCAGUGAUUUUACCUUAAGUGUGUUUCUAAACUCCUUGUGAUAGCGUGUCUAACACUUGUGAAUUUAAAUGUGAAGAUUAAGAUUCUACUUAGCCCUUCUUGUAAUGUCAUUGCUAAUGAGGAAUUUCCAGAGCUGUGUCAUGGUUCUUAUUUUUUAUUGGUAUUCCAGAUCACAACAUCAUAUAGUGUACUGGGAGUUAAAGUGUUAAUGCUCCAGUCCUGUGGAUCAUUGCUACUUCUGGGUAUAGCUGCCUCGGAAGAGGAGGAGAACUACAUACCCCAGAGGACUGUUCACUGUUUAGUUUCUGGUUUUCAUUCAGAGGGAAAGACAAAACUGUUCACAGA